AGUGUGAAGCGGCAUCGCCGACGCUUCUCCGGAGUCCAUGGCAUGGAAAAGGUCAGGGGUUCGAAUCCCCUAAGCUCCACCA
rnacentral:tRNA from 1 species